UUAAGUAAGGAAGGGCGUACGGCGAAUGCCUUGCCACUCGAAACUGAAGAAGGACGCGCCAAACUGCGAAAAGCUCCGUGAAGCUGUAAGGAAGCGAAGAAGCGGAGGUGUCCGAAUGGGGGAACCCGGCAGCAGACAUGAGCUGUCAUCUGCAGGUGAAUACAUGGCCUGCAAGAGAGGUACCCGGCGAACUGAAACAUCUAAGUAGCCGGAGGAAAAGAAAACAACAGUGAUUCCCUGAGUAGCGGCGAGCGAAAGGGGAGAAGCCCAAACCGGUCCGAGGGCCGGGGUUGAAGGACCAUGAUAUGGCAAGAACGAGGAUAGGAGAACGGGAUCGAAAGCCCGGCCGAAGAAGGUGAAAGCCCUGUAACCGAAAUCCAAGGGAAGCCUAAUGGGAUCCUGAGUACGGCGAGACACGAGAAAUCUUGUCGGAAGCAGGCGGGACCAUCCGCCAAGGCUAAAUAUAAACGAGUGAGCGAUAGUGAACCAGUACCGUGAGGGAAAGGUGAAAAGAACCGCGGGAGCGGAGUGAAAGAGAACCUGAAACCGUAUGCCUACAAGAAGUCAGAGCCCGUUAAGGGGUGAUGGCGUGCCUUUUGUAGAAUGAACCGGCGAGUUGCGACAGACUGCGAGGUUAAGGAGGAAAGACCGGAGCCGAAGCGAAAGCGAGUCUUAAGAGGGCGAAAGUAGGAUGUUGCAGACCCGAAACCGGGUGAUCUAGCCAUGAGCAGGUUGAAGUUGAGGUGAAACUCAAUGGAGGACCGAACCGACUACCGUUGAAAAGUUAGCGGAUGACUUGUGGCUAGGGGAGAAAUUCCAAUCGAACCCGGAGAUAGCUGGUUCUCCCCGAAAUAGCUUUAGGGCUAGCGUCGGAAAGAACCUUAGUGAAGGUAGAGCACUGAAUGUGUGAUGGCCCCAUCCCGGGGUACUGAAUACAAUCAAACUGCGAAUGUCAUUAAGGAUGUCCGGCAGUCAGACUGUGAGUGAUAAGGUCCAUGGUCAAGAGGGAAACAGCCCAGACCGCCAGUUAAGGUCCCAAAAUACAGGCUAAGUGGAAAAGGAUGUGGGGAUGCCCAGACAACUAGGAGGUUGGCUCAGAAGCAGCCAUCCUUUAAAGAGUGCGUAACAGCUCACUAGUCGAGUGACCCUGCGCCGAAAAUGUACCGGGGCUAAGCCUGAUACCGAAACUGCGGAUUGUAGGAAACUAUAGUGGUAGGGGAGCGUUGUAUACGAGCAGAAGCCGUACCGUGAGGAGCGGUGGAUUGUAUAGAAGUGAGAAUGCCGGUGUGAGUAGCGAGAUGUAGGUGAGAAUCCUACACACCGAAAGCCCAAGGAUUCCAGGGGAAGGUUCGUCCGCCCUGGGUAAGUCGGGACCUAACGCGAGGCCGAAAGGCGUAGUGGAUGGAAAGCAGGCGAAAGAUUCCUGCACCCGUAUAUGGAGCGAAGGAGUGACGGAGACGGAUAGUGUGACCCUCUUAAUGGAUUGAGGGCGAAGCGAAGCGGCUGGUUACCAGGCAAAUCCGGUAACUGAAAGGCUAGAGCGUGACAGGUAAGCGAAAUCUUAGGAAAGUAGCGAAGCACAUGAUGACGGCUUCCAGGAAAAGCUUCUGGCAAUGCAUAUGCGGCCCGUACCAAAACCGACACAGGUGGGCAGGGAGAGAAUCCCGAGGUGAGCGAGAGAACUGUUGCCAAGGAACUCGGCAAAAUGACUCCGUAAGUUAGCGAGAAGGAGUGCUUAAGCAAUUAAGCCGCAGUGAAGAGGCCCAAGCGACUGUUUAACUAAAACACAGCUCUCUGCGAAGUCGCAAGACGAAGUAUAGGGGGUGACACCUGCCCGGUGCUGGAAGGUUAAGAGGAUCUGUUAAGAGCGAUCUGAAGCAGUGAUCCGAAGCCCCAGUGAACGGCGGCCGUAACUAUAACGGUCCUAAGGUAGCGAAAUUCCUUGUCAGGUAAGUUCUGACCC
rnacentral:rRNA from 1 species